rnacentral:rRNA from 1 species
UACGGGGGGGGCUAGCGUUGUUCGGAAUUACUGGGCGUAAAGGGUGCGUAGGCGGCGCGGUAAGUCGGGUGUGAAAUCUCGGAGCUUAACUCCGAAACUGCAUUCGAUACUGCCGUGCUUGAGGACUGGAGAGGAGACUGGAAUUUACGGUGUAGCGGUGAAAUGCGUAGAUAUCGUAAGGAAGACCAGUGGCGAAGGCGGGUCUCUGGACAGUUCCUGACGCUGAGGCACGAAGGCCAGGGGAGCAAACGGG